GACGAACGCUGGCGGCGUGCUUAACACAUGCAAGUCGAACGGUGAAGCUCCAGCUUGCUGGAGUGGAUCAGUGGCGAACGGGUGAGUAACACGUGAGCAACCUGCCCCAGACUCUGGAAUAAGCGCUGGAAACGGCGUCUAAUACUGGAUACGAGAUCAAGCCGCAUGGUUAUGGUCUGGAAAGUUUUUCGGUUUGGGAUGGGCUCGCGGCCUAUCAGCUUGUUGGUGAGGUAAUGGCUCACCAAGGCGACGACGGGUAGCCGGCCUGAGAGGGCGACCGGCCACACUGUGACUGAGACACGGCCCAGACUCCUACGGGAGGCAGCAGUGGGGAAUAUUGCACAAUGGGCGAAAGCCUGAUGCAGCGACGCCGCGUGAGGGAUAACGGCCUUCGGGUUGUAAACCUCUUUCAGCAGGGAAGAAGCGAAAGUGACGGUACCUGCAGAAGAAGCACCGGCUAACUACGUG
rnacentral:rRNA from 1 species